UACGAAGGGGGCUAGCGUUGUUCGGAAUUACUGGGCGUAAAGCGCACGUAGGCGGACAUUUAAGUCAGGGGUGAAAUCCCGGGGCUCAGCCCCGGAACUGCCUUGAUACUGGGUGUCUUGAGUGUGGUAGAGGUGAGUGGAAUUGCGAGUGUAGCGGUGAAAUGCGCAGAUAUCAGGAGGAACACCCGUGGCGAAGGCGGCUCUCUGGGACGGUACUGACGCUGAGACGCGAAAGCGUGGGGGGAGCGAACAGG
rnacentral:rRNA from 1 species